GGGUCUCACAAUCAUGCUAUUUUUUUCUAACAUUAGGUAUACAAUAUGAUUAAGCAAAGUGAAAUUAAGUAUAGUCAACCAUGUCACCGGCAAAGAAACUCUUCCAUUUGAUGAGGCUGCAGCUUGAUCCACUGGGUAAGAUAUGCUUACACCUAAAUUAUUUGUGGUUGCUUGUGCAUCUUUGGUACCCUUUGUAUCUG
rnacentral:lncRNA from 1 species